AGGCGCCAAAGUACAAUCGAUAUUAUCGAUGCCUGCGAUAUAUUGGAGGGACAGCUUCAGAAUGAUCAAAGAAUUGAAUGUGCGAUUCACCGUAUCGUCAGAAAAGUUUUGAAUUCCUUGUGUGAUAUAUGUACAUCGUUCAACUGAGACUGCUAUGAAUGUAUCUUCAGCAUGAGUCAGCAACGUCAGUAAUAUUAGCGGCAGAAAGGUGUUCUUGAUUAUUCUGCGAUAGCUAAAAUCUUACGGGCAUUUGAAGAGCGUUGGGUCCGAAUCGAUCGAAAAAAUGAGGCAAAUCGUCGUAAAAAAGAGACGAGAAACGUAGCCAGGAAAUGGCGAACCACGAGGACACCGACACGUCGAUGAUCACUGUAAUAAUCGUAGUAACAACCGUCGACGUUAUAAAACGCAGGAUUCACGUGCAGGAAUGUUUCCAACAUCGAUGAUGGGAAUUUUGUUUUUAUCAUUGAAAUACUGAAAAUUGGAAAUAUUAUGUAUUAUGCAAAUAUUCCAGCAAUCUGCAAUUCGUUUGAUGUUUCAGAAGUGAUAAUUUAUAAUUGAUCCAAGUUAGGUUAUUUUAAUUGAAACGUUGUUAUAAUUUGAAAUCAAAUAAUUUGGCAAAUCAGAACUUGAUUAAUUACUUACAAGAUUCGUUUAUACAGCGACACUCCGUAGAAAAUACAACUUUUUACAUUCAAUGUAACACGAAGUUUCAUAUUAAAAUUAAGAUUCAUCCUGUACGUAUAUUAUGAUUCAGCCUUCCUCUUGUUUUCUCUCUUAUUUUUUUCAUUUCAAUCUCUUUUUUAAGGAAUCACGCUCCAAUUUCUUUCUUUAAUUCGCAGAAAGCAAAAUUGAAAUUAACACUCCGACCAAGCCUCGAAUACUAAUCACGAGCAAGACUCGAAUCCAAUGAUC